rnacentral:misc_RNA from 1 species
GGUUAUAGUAAUAGUAGUAGUAGUUGUAACUACUACUAUUACAACCACCACCACUCAUUCGAUCGGUCCUCACCUACCUCCGCUAUUACCGUGGUGAGUCUGUGGGUGUGGAAUAGUAAGUAGCUGAUAAACUCGUAAUGUUUGUUGUUCGGCAGCAUCAAAAGAAUGAACCUGCUGGUUCCCAGAUUUUAUAGUCUGGCUAGAGCAUCUACAUCACCAUCACGAAAUAACAUACAUCCUUGCUAGCUGCCAUCUAUUUACACAUACUCCAAUGUUUACACUUAUUUUUACGUAAAACUUUAUCAAUGUUCCCUCAUCUGAAAAGAUAACGCUCCAAAAAGAAUUCAUUCAAAAUAAGACAUUCACUUCGUCCAUCAUUGCUUUCGCAAGUCCUGCAGAAUUUUUCUUUGAAAUUUCAUAUUUACAUUUUAAAAUAUAUAAUCUUGCAACAAACUUUAUUCUCUUGGAACUCGAACUCUCAUAUCAAGGUUUUACGAGCAGUUUUUAUUAGUUGGUUUAUUAUUUUCAUAGUUAAACGUUGGUUUUUUUCUUCUUCUUCUUACCUUUUACGUGUGCGAACAGCAAUAGAAGAUACAUCAGACAGAAACAGGAAAACCUUCUAAUUUACCAACUCUAAGAAAUCAAACAACAUAGACUGUGAUUUAAUCGAAAAGAAAGCAAAUAACAACAACAAAAAAGAAGAUACAAGAUCAGUGUCUCUGAUAUGAUGGGAAUAAAUAACACCGAAAGACUUCACAUAGUUUGGCCACUUUGACUGAGAUCUGGAGUAAACAUCAGAAUGUUUCAUCAUCAAGUCCCCGUAGUAGUGGACAACACUACGCAAACCGGGUCUCCUCCACCUUCACCAAUCUCAUCGGUUCUAGUAGCAGCAUCCACUCCGACACACCGCAGCAACAAGGAUCACUGCAGACUCAACAACUUCAAAGGAAACCUGGAAACAUGCACUUACACCGACCCCUAGCUGUCGUACACCUUUUCAUUUUGCAGGUGCACAUCAGAAUUAGUCCGGAUAAACGAUUAUUCCACCUCUUUAUCGAUAUGUAAACCAUGUAACUAAGAAAUGAAACUUUUGUAUAAUGAUCUUCAUUAUUUCCAUUUAUAACUAUUAAUGUUCUACAACAUAAAAAGCACUAUCCAA